UAAAGGCUAGUAAAGAAAAAGGCUGUGAGUUGCUGGUGUUUUGGAUUAAAGGUAUCCGCAACCACUUAUAUUGGUCAGCUAUGUCUACUAAGAUGGGAUAUGGAGAUAUGAUUGUGGCAAAAUGGAAAUCCAUUGCUAGGCACAUUACAAACAAGCAUGAAACCAUCCAGAUGAGUUGUUUCCUAAAUGUGCUCAUGGAGAGCUAGAUGAACGUCUAUGGCUUCAAGUUGAUGGGAUUGUAUUCUUUUUAAGGAACUAAAUCAUAUCAGCGACUUUCCUCCAUUCUGUUGAAAAAAUCUGUUCUCAAAGAUGUUAAAAAACUAUCUUCAGAAGCACAAACUAGUUGUCUCGAAGGUUUUCAUUCAACAUUAAAUGGUUGGCAUCCAAAGAUGACCCACUUUUCUUGGCUUGGUACAUAUUGCAGGUAACUUGUAAUCACUGUUCUCUAUCUGCCAAGGCUUUUUUACUUGUUCCUAG